rnacentral:lncRNA from 1 species
GCUGGAGAGUCACACAGACUCCUUAGGGACUGGAGAAGGCUUUCUCCCAGCUAGCAUUCCCCCUUGACAAGGCUAGAGUGACUGUCAUGCAGUAAGGGUUACUUCAGACUGUAUCCAUCCACACAGAAAGUACGAGAAUGAGGAAACCAACAUGGUAUGAAUGUGGUAUGAGUCACGACACAUAAAAGUCAGACACGGAGCCUUGGAAAAUAAAGACUAGAUUUGAUCUUAUACUUUCCUGCUAAAAAAAAAAAAAAAAAAAAAAAAAAACGGUGUUGCUCCAUCAAGAUAGAAAGAUAUAGUCCACAGCCACAAACCUCUUACUUUAAAAAAAAAAAAAAAAAAAUGAGCUCCCAAUGUGGUUGAAAAACAAAACAAAAUGUCAGAGCAUACUGUUUUUGUCACAGCUUGUCUUGGCGUGGGAUAUUAACUUCAGUUUCUCGCUUCCUACAUUUGUAAAAUGGGAAUUAUGAUUCGCCUGUCACAUGAGGACUGUGCUGUUCAAGUUUAAAAUUGCAAUGCUUCUUGUGAGAUAUUUGGAGAAAUCAGUGAAUUUCAGUUUCACAAUUAGGCCAACUAUACCAUGUUUAUAUGGUUUUCCCAUAUAAAGAUUUUUGCUGCCUAACUAACAAGUUAGCUUACUAGAAAGACUUGAAAUAAAUUCUGUAACUAAAAACGACUUCUGCCCCAAGAGUUCCUGAAAUGUGAGAGUUUCUUCUUUCAUUAUAAUUAAUUCUUCUCCAAAGUAAACAAUCCUGUCUAGGGUGACUGUGCCAUGAAUUCUUAGUUUGGGGUGAGAAAAUAGUAACAAAUGUUUUCAAUGUCCGUUGUUGGAAUUAUAUAAAAUGACAGUUACUCUAUAAAGUUAAGAUUGUUACUUAUUCAAGCUAUACUAAGUAUGAAGACAAAAUGUCCCAUAUAUUUACUCUGUAUCAAUCACAUUUGAGGCCAACUACAAUAAAGAGUUAGAUAUUAUUGAUCUUAAUAAAUAAACACAGGCAGGUAUGAUUUAUAUACAUAGUUUAUCGAAAAUUAGUGCAGAUAGAAGUUGGAAUAAACCUGUCAUGUUUAUUGAAGUAAACCUAUGUUUAUUGAAACCAGUGAUAUAAUUUUGGUAAUUUUCGCUUCAUAGAAAACAACAUUACUAAUAGAGAAGUUUAUAGAAGGCAAAUAAUCAAAUUGGUUGUCACAUUUUCCCAAGAUCAUAUUUCAGCAGUAAUAUUUCCUACUUGACAAUAACAUUUUUAGAACCAUAGUAAUUCAAGAACCAGAUACUAUAAUAGUAUUGGCAAGGAGCACAUAACAGGACUAUAGAUUAGUGGCAGAGUAGUUGCCCACCACCUACAAGGUUCUGGUUUGAUCCCCAGCACAAGAAGAGGAGAAAAAAAGUAAAAUAUAUUCUUCAGCUCAUGACUGUAGUAAUCUAAGAAUAUGACCUUGAUGAUGAAUGUGGUGAUGUCUAUUACUAAGUUGGUUUCAGCUUUGACACAAUUUAAUAGUGGGAGAGAAGGUGAAUUAAGAUACACUAACAUGUCCAUAGGCCUACCUAUUUCAACCUACACUUCUGUCAUUUUUUUGGUUGGUUGGUUUCGGGUCUUGUUUUGUUUUGUUUUAAUAGUGGUUUCCUAGUAGUAGUGUAGCUCUUUUGAUCUUUUUACAUAGAAACUUUCUAAACCAUUAUGUUUGAGCUUUUUCUUCAAUACCUGAUUGUGCCCAUUUUCCUCAAGCUACACCCAAAUGGUCUCUGGCUGAUGUCAUUACCUGUUGGAGAUGUGGGAGAACCCAAGUCUGGUGCAAGCAUGGUUGGUCUUGUGAACCAGCUCCUCUGUUUCUCAAAGUAUGGAUAACCACAGAGAUAAGCACGUGUGCCUUCGAAGUGACAUGUUAUUAGUAUACAGGAGUGCCCCUUCGCAGCCCCUUCCCUCUGGGAAGAAGAAAGAGGCACACAGACUCUCAAAGGUAUUUAGAAAAUAAUUCCAGCACUAAUGUUUUAGAUCUAAUGCAGCCCAAGCAUCUGGGCUCUUAGAAUAAGUAUCCGUUAUAUCUGUUGAUAAAUUGUAUUUAUUUUUGCUGUUAAAUGUGCUUCCCAUUCAUCUUUUUUCUUUUCUGUGUUCCUUCCCAGAUUUUUAAAAACUUGGUAUUUUUCAUGUUAUCAUUUCUGACCUCCUUCUACUCUAACCUAUAGCUGGGAAGUGGUGGACUCCCUGUUCAUUAACUAAACACACCUGGGCUCUGUCUGGGCUUAUCAGUUUAUCUCGAAGUUUAAGGUUUCAAAUAACUAACUUAGAAUCCAGUUUUUGAGGCACCCUGCUCCUCUACUGUAGCUGCCACUGCCACAUUCCAAUCGGCCAUGCCCCAGAAUCUAACUCUACGUGGCUUCCUCUUAACAUAAGCAAAUAGUUAUCAAUCUCAAAUGAUGAAUUAUAUUAAUUUUGCUAUUAAGCACUUAAUAAAAAUAUUA